rnacentral:sRNA from 1 species
ACAUGGGAGAGGAGGUGGUCCGACGUUGAUGAACGACAGGACUCGUGAGGUGUCCGUCAGCUAGCCGACGUCAGGUCGUGGAUUGACCGGCUCCACCCCUCCGGGGCGGACACGUCAGCUGGUGAAUUCCCGACGGACACCGGACCCCCGGAGCGCUCGGAGUUGUCCAUCCGAGCCCCUCGAACGCCGUUCGAGGGAAGCAUGCUCCGGGGGUUUUCCCAU